GUUGGGCAUGGAGGUGCAUGCCUGUAAUCCUUGAUACUCAGGAGGCUGAGUUAGGAGGUUCAAAAGUUCAAGGCUAGCCUGAGCAAUUUAGUGAGACCUUGUCUCAG
rnacentral:sRNA from 1 species